GCUGGGUGUGGUAGUGUGCACCUGUAAUCCCAGCUACUCAGGAGGCUGAGGCAGGAGGAUCGCUUGAGCCUGGGAGGUGGAGGUUGCAGUGAGCUAAGAUUGCACCACUGCACUCCAACCUGGGUGACAGAGUGAGACUCUGUCUCAA
rnacentral:SRP_RNA from 1 species